rnacentral:misc_RNA from 1 species
UUUAGGAUUACGGAUGUUUGCCUUAUUGAAUGCACUGCAUGGUUUUGGUUACUUUCCCCUUCUUUGAAAUAACAGAUGUUCUUUUCGGCUGUUUUGGCCCAUUACUUCUGAAAACUAGAUUAGUGACAUGGAACAAUUUGGCUUAAUCUGCCUUUCAUGUCCUUUGUUUCAACUGUUGGUGAAAUUGGGAAUUUGUGACUGGAGAAGUUUACAAAAAUGCUACCAUUUUAGGCUGUUUUACUGGCAGGAAAUUAAUAUAAAGGUUGCAGGAUUUUCUGGCAGCAAUACAUUCAUGUAAUUGGUUAUUUUUAUGGUUAAUUGAUGAGGUAAAGACCAUCAGGUUUAUGUUGGGGUAGUAUGGGAUGCAUAGAAUAGGCGAAGUAGCUGCAAUAGUUAUGGACUAUGUAGCAUGAAAACGGAAACGCGGAAACGGGGAA